UUUGCGCCAAUAAAAACGAAAAGAAACUCAAAAACAACACUUAAUCCAAAAAGAAGAAAAAAAAAAAAUACCGUUGUAUUCCUUAAUGUUAUUCAAAAAGUCUUUUCCAAUUUUUUCCUUUCUUUUUCGGUUUUCUUUUUUUUUUUGAAUAAACCUUGGCCUCAAAUCCUCAUACAUUGUAUGCUUAUGUGUCUCUGCAAAAGAUUUCAUUUCUCUCAGUUUUAAGUAAAUUUUCAAUGUCUUGCACUAUUAUCAUUAUUAUCAUUGCCGUUGUCGUUGUUGUUAUCUUUCUGUGCCGGUAGUUGUGCAGUCGCAUAAUGUACCUGCUCAUUGCCAUUGUGUCCUACUUUAUGCUUUUUGCCUCGUUUUUGGGCGAAGAUAAAAUACAAGUCAAACUAACAGGAAUUGGAACAAUUUGUGCGGGCAUUUAUUUAUUUGUAGUAUCAGUCGAAUUUGCUUAAGACUGAGAGAAAUGAA